CAGUAGCCGCGGUAAUACGAAGGGUGCAAGCGUUAAUCGGAAUUACUGGGCGUAAAGCGUGCGUAGGCGGUGAGUUAAGUCUGCUGUGAAAUCCCCGGGCUCAACCUGGGAAUGGCAGUGGAUACUGGCUCGCUAGAGUGUGUCAGAGGAUGGUGGAAUUCCCGGUGUAGCGGUGAAAUGCGUAGAGAUCGGGAGGAACAUCAGUGGCGAAGGCGGCCAUCUGGGACAACACUGACGCUGAGGCACGAAAGCGUGGGGAGCAAACAGGAUUAGAUACCCGGGUAGUCCCUGUCUCUUAUAA
rnacentral:rRNA from 1 species